rnacentral:rRNA from 1 species
AUUGAACGCUGGCGGCAGGCCUAACACAUGCAAGUCGAACGAGUGGCGGACGGGUGAGUAAUGUAUGGGGAACUGCCUGAUAGAGGGGGAUAACUACUGGAAACGGUAGCUAAUACCGCAUACCAUCGGAUGUGCCCAGAUGGGAUUAGCUAGUAGGUGGGGUAAAGGCUCACCUAGGCGACGAUCCCUAGCUGGUCUGAGAGGAUGACCAGCCACACUGGGACUGAGACACGGCCCAGACUCCUACGUGAGGCAGCAGUGGGGAAUAUUGCACAAUGGGCGCAAGCCGGAUGCAGCCAUGCCGCGUGUAUGAAGAAGGCCUUAGGGUUGUAAAGUACUUUCAGCGGGGAGGCGUUACCCGCAGAAGAAGCACCGGCUAACUCCGUGCCAGCAGCCGCGGUAAUUC